GACGAACGCUGGCGGCGUGCUUAACACAUGCAAGUCGAACGGAAAGGCCCUGCUUUUGUGGGGUGCUCGAGUGGCGAACGGGUGAGUAACACGUGAGUAACCUGCCCUUGACUUUGGGAUAACUUCAGGAAACUGGGGCUAAUACCGGAUAGGAGCUCCUGCUGCAUGGUGGGGGUUGGAAAGUUUCGGCGGUUGGGGAUGGACUCGCGGCUGAUCAGCUUGUUGGUGGGGUAGUGGCUUACCAAGGCUUUGACGGGUAGCCGGCCUGAGAGGGUGACCGGCCACAUUGGGACUGAGAUACGGCCCAGACUCCUACGGGAGGCAGCAGUUGGGGAUAUUGCACGAGGGGCGGAAGCCUGGUGCAGCAACGCCGCGUGCGGGAUGACGGCCUUCGGGUUGUAAACCGCUUUCGCCUGUGACGAAGCGUGAGUGACGGUAAUGGGUAAAGAAGCACCGGCUAACUACGUG
rnacentral:rRNA from 1 species